GGGCCCGUAGCUCAGCUGGUUCAGAGCAGGGGACUCAUAAUCCCUUGGUCGAAGGUUCGAAUCCUUCCGGGCCCACCA
rnacentral:tRNA from 1 species